rnacentral:rRNA from 1 species
AUAUAAAUAAUGGGAUUAGUUUUUAGCCUAGUCUAUUAAUUCAAUCCCGGGGCGUUCUAUAUAGUUAUGUAUAAUAGUAUUUAUAUUAUUUAUACCUCUAACUAGAGCGUACCUUGAGCAUAUAUGCUGUGACCCGAAAGAUGGUGAACUAUACUUGAUCAGGUUGAAGUCAGGGGAAACCCUGAUGGAAGACCGAAACAGUUCUGACGUGCAAAUCGAUUGUCAGAAUUGAGUAUAGGGGCGAAAGACCAAUCGAACCAUCUAGUAGCUGGUUCCCUCCGAAGUUUCCCUCAGGAUAGCUGGUGCAUUGAAAAUUUAUGUAAAAUAAUCUUAUCUGGUAAAGCGAAUGAUUAGAGGCCUUAGGGUCGAAACGACCUUAACCUAUUCUCAAACUUUAAAUGGGUAAGAACCUCACCUUUCUUGGUAUGAAGGUAGUGGUUGUGAUAUAAUGUGCCCAGUGGGCCACUUUUGGUAAGCAGAACUGGCGCUGUGGGAUGAACCAAGCGUAAUGUUACGGUGCCCAAAUUAACAACUCAUGCAGAUACCAUGAAAGGCGUU